UGAAUACGAGACGCUACGGCGUCGAAGCAGUCUAUGUCAGACUUCCAAGAAAAGCUCGCAAUGUCAUAAACAAAUAAUGCCUGUACCAUAACCGACACAGGUGGGUAGGUAGAGUAUACUAAGGGGCGCGAGAUAACUCUCUCUAAGGAACUCGGCAAAAUGACUCCGUAACUUCGGGAGAAGGAGUGCCUUAUUUAUAAGGUUGCAAUAACAAGAUCCAAGCAACUGUUUAUCAAAAACACAGGUCUCCGCUAAGUCGUAAGACGAUGUAUGGGGGCUGACGCCUGCCCAGUGCCAGAAGGUUAAAGAAGUUGGUUAGCAUUCGCGAAGCUGAUAACCGAAGCCCUGGUGAACGGCGGCCGUAACAAUAACGGUCCUAAGGUAGCGAAAUUCCUUGUCGGGUAAGUUCCGACCCGCACGAAAGGCGUAAUGAUUUGGAUACUGUCUCGGAGAGGGGCUCGGUGAAAUAGACUUGUCUGUGAAGAUGCGGACUACCUGCACCUGGACAGAAAGACCCUAUGAAGCUUUACUGUAACUUGAAAUUGAAAUUGGACUUUAUUUGCGCAGCAUAGGUGGGAGGCGUUGAGAGUAUUCUUGCGGGAAUAUUGGAGCCAUCAGUGAGAUACCACUCUUGUAAUGUUAGAUUUCUAACUUUGUAUCAUUAUCUGGUCAAAGAACAGUUUCAGGCGGGCAGUUUGACUGGGGCGGUCGCCUCCCAAACGGUAACGGAGGCGUACAAAGGUUUCCUCUGAACGGGUAGAAAUCGUAUCUAGAGUGUAAAGGCAUAAGGAAGCUUGACUGUGAGACCUACAAGUCGAGCAGGGACGAAAGUCGGUCUUAGUGAUCUGACGGUGCUGAGUGGAAAGGCCGUCACUCAACGGAUAAAAGUUACUCUAGGAUAACAGGCUGAUCUCCCCCAAGAGUUCACAUCGACGGGGAGGUUUGGCACCUCGAUGUCGGCUCAUCGCAUCCUGGGGCGGUAGUACGUCCCAAGGGUUGGGCUGUUCGCCCAUGAAAGCGGUACGCGAGCUGGGUUCAGAACGUCGUGAGACAGUUCGGUCCAUAUCCGGUGUAGGCGUUAGAAUAUUGAGAGGAGCCUUCUUUAGUACGAGAGGACCGAGAAGGACAUACCUCUGGUGUACCAGUUAUCGUGCCAACGGUAAACGCUGGGUAGCUAUGUAUGGAGAGGAUAACCGCUGAAAGCAUCUAAGUGGGAAGCCCACCUCAAGAUAAGUAUUCUCA
rnacentral:rRNA from 1 species